rnacentral:lncRNA from 1 species
AUAUGUUUAUGUGUCUGCAUGUCUGUCCUUGCAUAUUUGUUUAAUUGUAUCCAAAUUUGAUUUAUUCCUUUUCUCUUUUGCUGCUUUUUGGUCUUCAUAAUUGUAUUGUGUUCUUUUUUCUGUGAUGCGGUAUACACAUUUGCCUUUAGCUAAUUACUCUUGUAAAAGGCUUACAUAUUAGUUGUAACUGUUUAACAUAGAAUUUCUUGAUGGAAGGUUUAACUGUUUUAAUUACUCAAUACUAUUACACUCCCACCGGUAUUUAAAUCCUAAUGGAAGAAGCAUAUUAAUUGUAACUUCAUAAUUCAUAAAAUAGCUACCUUUAAUGUAACCUUACUACCUUAGCAUGCAUGCUGUUGAUAUGCUUCAUAAAGGAUUCAACAAACUUAGAAAGAUGAAAUUAGGUGGAAAUUACAGGAUGAAAGGUACAAGAUUCAAAGCUAAAAACACCCUCACCUUGUGUCUUCAACAUUUAGGUGAACCUUAUUUCAAGUAAAUAAAGGAACACUAUAAUUUUUAGAACUUGGGACUUCAACUUGGAGGAUUUGGAUUCAGAUCUUGUAAAGGGAGGCUAGGUAUAUGGAAUGUGAAAGAGCCAUCUUUUUUCUAUGAU